GGAAACUGAAGGCACCAAACAUAAUGAUGGACUCCAGUUGGGUAGACUGUGACUGAAGAAGACAAUGACUUUCAGCACCUGGUUAACUGACCUUCAGAUGUGAGUCAUCCAAAGCCAGCGCCCUUCCAACCUUGAUGCAUGGCUCUGGGGUUUUCUCCAGCCUUUGCAAUUCCCUGGAGAGACUUCGUGAAGAUCUCCAGCUCACAAGACGGAGAGAAAUAUGCUGAGUCCUGCUGCUGGUGGAGUCAUCUGGGAGAUCUACACUUCCCAGUUCUCCAUGGCAACUCAAUCAGGUCAAACUGUGCUCUCCCAGUGAGACCCUGAGCCCACACUGAGCACCUAGGGCCUCGAAGGAGGAGUUUCCUCUCUUUAAAUCUGUGUGAGACAAUUGUCACUCAGAUGCUCAGGUGAAACUGCCUGUGAUUUAAAUACCACAGCCCCUAGCAGCUGCUUCCCACAGACCUGCUGUCUUAGACUGUUAAGUGAGCACUCUCCAUAUCUCCCCUUCAACUAGACUUCUCCUUCACCUGAAAUCUCACAGUAGCUUUCCAGGUCUAUUGAUAAACCAUCCUUGUAGACAGAGAAGGCUAAGAUAACGAAAGCCUAAGGAAGCAUGCAAAAAGGGGACUGACUUAGAGAGACCUGUCUUUACAGAAGUAAAGUCUUUGGAAUACUGGUGAUGAAUGAUGGGUAAUUUCUGUGUCCUGUGAAGAUGUGAAGGCUUUUUGGAAAUCCACGAGAACAGAACAGACGUGCUUGGAUUGUUGGUGUCAGUGCUCCACCCACAAAGGGGUGGAGCCAGGACAUGAUGUAAUGGCAGAAGAAGGUGUGUCUUGCCGUUUGCUGGUUCCUGCUGGCUGUCAACCACCACCAUGAACUGCCGCCCAGCCAUGCCCGCCUGUCUUGAAGCCAACUGAGUGUGGACUGAAACCUCCAAAAAACUGUAAGAAAUAAACCUUUGCUUUCCCA